UACGGAGGGUGCAAACGUUGCUCGGAAUCAUUGGGCGUAAAGCGCACGUAGGCGGCCGUGUACGUCGGAUGUGAAAGCCCUGGGCUCAACCCAGGAAGUGCAUUCGAAACUACUGAACUUGAGUAUGGAAGAGGGUCGCGGAAUUCCCGGUGUAGAGGUGAAAUUCGUAGAUAUCGGGAGGAACACCAGUGGCGAAGGCGGCGACCUGGGCCAAUACUGACGCUGAGGUGCGAAAGCGUGGGGAGCAAACAGG
rnacentral:rRNA from 1 species